AACGAACGCUGGCGGCAUGCCUAACACAUGCAAGUCGAACGAGACCUUCGGGUCUAGUGGCGCCCGGGUGCGUAACGCGUGGGAACCUGCCCUUAGGUUCGGAAUAACUCCCCGAAAGGGGUGCUAAUACCGGAUAAUGUCUUCGGACCAAAGAUUUAUCGCCUUUGGAUGGGCCCGCGUUGGAUUAGCUCGUUGGUAGGGUAAAAGCCUACCAAGGCGACGAUCCAUAGCUGGUCUGAGAGGAUGAUAAGCCACACUGGGACUGAGACACGGCCCAGACUACUACGGGAGGCAGCAGUGGGGAAUAUUGGAAAAUGGGCGAAAGCCUGAUCCAGCAAUGCCGCGUGAGUGAUGAAGGCCUUAGGGUUGUAAAGCACUUUGACCCGGGAUGAUAAUGACAGUACCGGGAGAAUAAGCUCCGGCUAACUCCGUG
rnacentral:rRNA from 1 species